UGUACUCUGCUGAUUUGUGUGCGUGUGUGUGUGUUUAAUAUGUUGUACAUACUUUAGUAUGUACAACAACCACAUGAUUCAUGUUAUUUAUAAGCUACAGGGUGGACAGGGUUGCAGCUCUUAACUCUGUGACACCGGUUUCAUCUGCAUAGGCCUACACCUGUCACAAUAAUGAUCAAAUGUAGGUUCUCGUGCGGUCACUUAUCCGUGUCCGGACGUAGAUGACGAAAGCAUAACUACACUGAAAGAUAUAUAGAGCAAGUGAUAGGAGUUGAGGGUGCAGGCAGGUAGGACCCAGAUGCAGACGGGUAAAGAAAACGGCACUUUAUUUCUGCCAAAAGGCUAAGGCAAGGAGCAACGAGCAAGGGAACACAGGUAGCUACAGAGAAGACGCAGGACCAACAAACCAAAAUGACAGCACGAGGAACAAAGGAAAGACAAGGGCUUAAGUAGCAAACGCAACGAGGAACAGCUGAGACCCAUUAGGGGAGGGAGCAGUAUUCAACACAGGAGGGAAACACAGGGAAACACAUCAAAACACGACACAGACCAUGACAGCAAGGGGUCGUUUAAAAUGGAAGGGCAUGGAAGGGAUCAGAUGUUUUUAGGCAGCUCUGGGAUUUAAUUUAAUUACAUUUAUAUUGCAUUAAUACCGAAAAGUAUUUUUGAGUCUUCAAUUCCACUUCUUUUGGCCGCUGUUAUGCUUCUUAAGGGAUCAUAGCCUACUUUCUAACAAAUGUUCACAAGUGAAAACAGCAAAUCGACAAAACACUUGUCAAACAUUUGAUUUAUCCACCACUCAGGCUAGCCUCAAGAAGGAGAUCCAAGCUUUGGAGUUGAAGGCCAAUUCCCUGAAGGCACUCUACAACACUCAGCAGGAAGCGCUCGCGGACAGGAUAACGGACGCGACGUCGAACGCCACUCAAAGGGCUGCGCGCCAUUUGUCGGCACACGAGAAGCAACUUUUGAAGGCGGAGGAGUCGAACUCUGAGCAAAAAGCACAAUUUCAGCAGUUAACUAAAGACACGGAGCUGGUUUGGGAGAAAAUCCAGGGGGAAAUCAAGAGAGCCAAAAACUUAGUCCGUAUAAUCGAGGUGAUGAACCAGGAGUUAUAAUCACACCGUCGCGGCUGUUCGAGAGUGUUGAAUUAAAUAACAAAUUAUUAGUUGAUGCAGUGAGAUGCAUUAUUAUAUUCAGGGUUCGAGUUAUGACUCCAUCUCUGUGGGGGUCUCUUAAAGUUGUGGUCGGGUUACACCGAAUUCUGCGACCCACCGAAAAGUGUGGUCGCUGUUGCACAUUUUCUGCAACAUGCACGUUUGCAUUAUAACAAAAAAAUAAAUAAAACAUAAGAUCUCCCCCCACCGGUGGGUCUUUCUUUUCUUGAUACUAACAUUAAUUCUAAACAGCGUUUUACACAGUAGGCCUAGGCCUAGGCUAUAAUAGGAAAUGCUCAAAGGUAAAUCAGCGUAAUUGAACACUGACUGUAGCUUAGGGUAAAGAAGCAAUGGUGAAGGACCGUACUAAACGCCCUAUCAUUGUAUGGGUCUGUAAAAUGCUAAUCAAAUCAAAACAAAUGUAUUUAUUAAGCCCCUUGUGAAGAUCUGAAUGGCAUCUUCACUGUUUUUAAACAUGUUUUAAAAGAUUCACGUGCUCCUGUCUGGCUGGUUAGCCGUGAUAGUCCGCAGCUGUGGCUCGUGGGCUAAUUGAGCCACACCCAUUCUGGUGCUCUUUAAGAGGGCCAGAGUUUUAGACUGGGAGGCGGGAGUUGUGCAAGUGACUCGACAGUUGUGCUGUGUUUUAAGUAAAGAGAUGCUUUCUAACAACAACAAUUUGCGUGAAGAAAGCUCUUUUUCACAUUUGGUAGCAGUGGUGGGAUAUUCCUCUAGCCGAGUGGAGGGGACCCACAUUUCGAAAAACAUUGUUCGAGGAGCUUCGUGGUGGACCGCGGUGAAGAAGAGCAGGUAGACGAAGAGUCCUGCUAGGAGAGGAGAUCACUGGGGAAGUUGGACUGCUGUCCUGUGGGGUUGGCCAAAGCCUGAAGGAGGAAUAGCUCGGUAACUCCUUGUUGCUGACGUGAGCCAUGUGGGGAGCUAUUGCCAAGCCUUCGCAGAACAGCAGUGGCGGAGGACUUACUGCGAAGAGUGCAGUGUUUUAAGUAAAGAGAUGCUUUCUAACAACAACAAUUUGCGUGAAGAAAGCUCUUUUUCACACCCCUGUUGACAUGUAAAAGUAUAUGCCCUCCAUUGUCACAAUCGGUUGUAUUUACUUUGUUAUACAUAAUAUGCUGUAUGCAGUGUUGUGUGUACAGCGGCAAUAGGAUGUCCCACAUGUGACCUAGGAGAGGUCAAGUGAGCGCGCGUUUAAUAAUCGAUGGUCAGUUCCAGUCCAACAGCACUGAUGCCCCACUGUGUGUUAUUUCUACAUUCAUUAUAUUCGGCCUAGCACUGGGUAUGCACGCCUGGAUCGUUGAGAAAACCAUCUCUGCUAACAGCCCCUUUAAUAAAAAGGUAAUUGGGGGAGUUCUUAUUUUUUAUUUAUGUUUUUGUUAUGCCUCUACGCUUCAAACUCGUGCGUAUUGCAAAGAAUAUGCAACAGCGCCCCCUGGGGUUACACUUUUCGGUGGGUCGCAGAAUUCGGUGUAACACCUGUUAGUUGCGCUGAAAAAGACACCUUGUGAAGUUAUUUUUUCGUUUGGCAAGUAGCUGAUCAUUAUCGAAAAUAAGCCCCGCAGGUCGAAGCGAGAAACCUGCGUUUCGCGUCGGUGUCCGGACAGUCCGGUUCGCCCUGUCUGGGCUGGUUUUCCCGCACAGCAAAUAUCAGUGUACAUUGUACUCUAUGGGUGUACAUUUAACACUCAUUUCUGGGUAUAUAUAGGUCCAAGAGUUCAGUGUUCGCUGAACACUGUUAGAAGAGCAAAAUAUGUACUCCAAAUUUAGAGUUACAUUUGAACACUUUGAGAGUGCAAAUGUACUCUAUUAGUGGUACUUUUGGGCACUCAUUCAGUGCUUCCUUACACCUGCAGUGUAAACCUAGAACCCCAGAGAGAGAAAAUAUGUACUCCAAGUCAGUGCUUUGUAGCACUUCGCAGAGCUGAUUAUUUAAUACUUCUAGAGUGAGAAUGUACUCUGACUGGUGUACAACCAACACCUUUGAGGUGAAUUAUCAACACUUCAUGAAUGAAUAGUCUACACAUUAGAUUCUUGCUGCUGUUGUUGUUACAGUGCAUACAUAUAUAAUAUAGUUAACAUUAUAGUUAAACUUUAAUUAUUUUACAUCAAGAACCAUUUUUAGUUUUACAUUUAUAUGAUGUAACAAACAACUUGAAAAUAAAUAAAUAAAUGUGUCCCUGUCAACCAAUUAAAGGGGAAUUCCGGUGUAAAACGGAUUUGGGAUAUGUUUUGUAUGAUAAUGAGUUGAAACGUUUGUUUUGGAGCACAAAAAAACGCAUAUAGACGCUUUCUUCAGUUGGCUGUUUUUAGCCGAUUCUAUCAAAACGCUAUAAACUUGGAACAAUGGGGCAGUGGUUAUGGUAAAAACUAAAUCGCUAUUUUAAACCAUUUAAAAGGCUAGAAGUAGCCCGACACUUCUUUGGUAGUUCAAUAAGGGUAUUAACAUAUAAAACGAGGCAUUGAGAACUUUGUAAGUGUACAGAUUGUUUAUUAAAAAUAAAAUUACAUUUUAUACACACAAUACCAUCAGUAGAUCACCCGUCGACGCCAUUUUGUUUUCAAGACUCGAUAAGUAGAUUGGCAAACACAGAGAUUGUGACAUCCAUCAGCAACACACAAGCUCUGGCGGCAUGCCAUGGGACCUUUAAAAAUAAAAUAAAAAUUAUCAGGAUACAAUUACCCUGUGAAACUUCACUACACGAUCCACAGCUUCCCGGAUACUGAUUUUGACAGCUCCAUUCUUUCCACUUGGAGGUGGUGGCAGGAGGUAGACCAGCAGGAGAAGUGAGGCCAUGUCACUAUCCCAACCUGAAAAGGGAGAGCACAUACUUUGAGCAUGAAAUACACCUGAUGAAAGCACAUGACACAACAUAAAAGGUUCAAAAAGUUCUUGUCAAUAAAUAGUCAGCAUCUAAAAAGGUGGCCAAAUACAAACAGGUUAUUAUCAUAGGACCCUUUUAAAAAAAAAAAAAAGGGUCCUAUGUUCCCCAGUCUCAUACAAAGAGGGGAACAUAGGACCUGGGGAACAUAGGACCCGGGGAACAUAGGACCCGGGGUCCGGGAACAUAGGACCCGGGGAACAUAGGACCCGGGGAACAUAGGACCCGGGGAACAUAGGACCCGGGGAACAUAGACACGCUCCCACUAAAUUAAAGCCACGUGCCUCGUUAGCAUUAGCUAAAAAUGGUAACGAGGCGUUAGCUAAAUUGAAGACAUGUGCCUCAUUAGCAUUGGCCAUUAAGUUUGACGUUAGCUAAAAUCGUUAGCAUUUAUAAGUUGGUUAUCAGAUCUAAAAGACGAAGAAAUGCUGAAUAUUCUGCAUUCAGGGUUUCUGCAGGUUUGAACAAGUUAAAUUUAAGCCUCUAAUACCUUCUUAAGACCCAUUAUGGAUACAAUUUCUGACCUAUAUGAAGGACAAACGCACAACUAACUAUGAAACAUAGAAACCCUGUGCAUUAUUCACUUGGUACUUUUCUUACCUGUUUACAUUCCCGUGAAGUUCAAAAAUGUCUUCGUUCACUCGGAGCAAUUCCUUGGCGAUAUUGAUUCGAUCCUCUCUAGCCAACCGUCUCUGUCGAAACAGUUUGCCGCGUAGUGUGGAAGAGGACAAACGGUCACAUGUCUCUAGAUUCAACCAAUGAGAAGGCGCAGCGAGCCAAUGACGAAUCGAAACCUAAACCGACGUGCCGCCGGGAUAGUAGGACACUCAACCGUUGUACACUCAGGGAGUCCAUCAUCCUAAAAUAAACACUUAAAUUACUCUACACCAGCAUUAUACUUAGAGACAACACCCAAGAGUGUUUCUGGUACACCCCAAAAAAUUUACUUAGUGCCUAUUCAACACCAAAGUGUAUAAAAUCUACUCUGGUCAUGAAUACUCUGGGAUUUUAACACUUUGCGAUUUGCUGUGCGAUAAUGACCGGCAUUCUAUUAUCCCUUACUUAACGUCAAUAUUACUCUGCAUAUGGAAGGGAAAUAGCUUCAUUUGUAAUUACAAUAUUAUGCUGCUGUAUUUUCAGAGACCCCCACAGAUAUUUGAGUUUGCUUCUUUCGUGGGAGCCCGACUUCUCUCUAUGGGAGCUCAGCUCCCACUGGCUCCCACCUAACUGGAACCCUGAUUAUAUUUCAUUAGCAUAGGGGUUAGAGUGCGUGUGUUCAUCAUCGCUAAUGCGUCACUGCGUCACACACAGGAUGAUGGAGGAUGGAACCUGCAAGCCCGUGUUAGUAAGUGUCAGUCGGGGUCAGAUAUAGUCCAGGUUUCUGGCUGCUUUAUAUAAAAAAUAUAUAUAAUCAAAUUGUAAAAAGUCUUUAUUUUUACAAUAUCUGUCUGUCUUUAGAUAUACAGAUCUUGUUAACCCUCCUUAACUACAAGGGGAACAUUUUUGUAAUAUCUUGGUAUUAUCUUAUUUUGUUACUAUUUCCCACCUUGCUGUGAUGCGUUUUUUUCUUUCAUAUCAGAUUCCUGUGAUAACACAACAAACACAGAAAUACAAACUUGUAAACAAUAAGGGAAAUCUUGUAUCUGAUAAAAUUCUUUCACCAAUGUGAUUAUUGAUCCUAGAGAGUAUGCUUACAAUUUAUAAGUUUAUUUAAUAUCAUCCUUAAUCCUUUAGAAAAACGUUAUCACAUUGCAUUAUGUCUUUAAUGCUUUACUUAAUUUAGUCUUUGUUGGAGUUAUAUUGUAUUCUCCUUUUUUCUGCUUGGG
ensembl:lncRNA